AAAUAGCCCCGAUAGUAGUGGAAAUCCUUUUUUGUUUUUCCUUUAAAAACAAAAAAGAUUAUAACGGAUAGCGGGAAAUAGC
rnacentral:sRNA from 1 species